CGCUCAUGGAUGGACGCUGUUUAAGUGUAUUCCCCGAUAUACCAUCUAACUGACAUAAUAUGACACUGUCCCCUAUCUGAACUAUUUGGCAGGGAUUCAAAACAGCUGUUCAUCGACCUCGAGAGUGCUGAAGAGGCUUACCGAACUGAAGGGGAUCAAUAAAUCAGAGACCUAGGCAGCAAAUCAUCAAGACAACAUGAUUAAACUGAUCCCUCAUGAGAAAUGAUCUCAGAGAAAGAGUGGCUGUCAAAAAGCCAUUUAUAAGAAAGAGAAACAGAGAGAAAAGACAGAGGGAUACCAAACUACACAAGAACUGCAUGGAGUGGCAACAGGUCU